rnacentral:rRNA from 1 species
GAUGAACGCUGGCGGCGUGCUUAACACAUGCAAGUCGAACGGAAAGGCCCAAGCUUGCUUGGGUCCUCGAGUGGCGAACGGGGGAGUAACACGUGGGUGAUCUGCCCUGCACUUCGGGAUAAGCCUGGGAAACUGGGUCUCAUACCGGAUAGGACGAUGGUUUGGAUGCCAUUGUGGAAAGAAUUUUCGGUGUGGGAUGAGCACGCGGCCUAUCAGCUUGUUGGUGGGGUAAUGGCCUACCAAGGCGUCGACGGGUAGCCGGCCUGAGGGGGUGUACGGCCACAUUGGGACUGAGAGACGGCCCAGACUCCUACGGGAGGCAGCAGUGGGGAAUAUUGCACAAUGGGCGCAAGCCUGAUGCAGCGACGCCGCGUGGGGGAUGACGGCCUUCGGGUUGUAAACUCCUUUCGCUAGGGACGAAGCGUUUUUGUGACGGUACCUGGAGAAGAAGCACCGGCUAACUACGUG